UAACAUUUAAUCCAUUUUCAGUCAUGAAAGAGGAAAAGGAAGAGCGAACUAAGUAGUCUAUAUGAGUCUAGAAUAACGUUCAACAACCGGCUUGGAACAUAUUAAAAGAGAAGAGAUGAAGAAAAGUAAAAUAUAAGAGAAUUGUUCCCAAGACACAUAUUUUAUGUCAAUAGCUACAAAGUGGUCAAUUCUGCUCUGGAUAGAAUAUCAUAUAAUGAAAAGAAGGGAAGGGAAGAAUAUCUAGUUUGCAUUAAUUAAAUUUUAUACAAAACCUUCAAUGAACUUGAACGAUCUACUUGGAAAAAUACCCACUUUUGAUAAAGAUAAUCCUGCUGUGGAGGCCUUGGUUGUGGUUUUGUGUAAGUUCCAGGCAAUUCUGCUGACACUAUGAGAUCUCUGGGCUUGGAAAAGUCACACUCCAAGAUAAAAGCAGCGUCACCAGGAGUAAUUAGCUCAUCGUCAUGCUGAAGAACCAAGGUGUUCCGAUAUUU